rnacentral:rRNA from 1 species
GCAGCUUGCUGCAUUUGCUGACGAGUGGCGGACGCGGUGAGUAAUGUCUGGGAAACUGCCUGAUGGAGGGGGAUAACUACUGGAAACGGUAGCUAAUACCGCAUAACGUCGCAAGACCAAAGAGGGGGACCUUCGGGCCUCUUGCCAUCGGAUGUGCCCAGAUGGGAUUAGCUAGUAGGUGGGGUAAAGGCUCACCUAGGCGACGAUCCCUAGCUGGUCUGAGAGGAUGACCAGCCACACUGGAACUGAGACACGGUCCAGACUCCUACGGGAGGCAGCAGUGGGGAAUAUUGCACAAUGGGCGCAAGCCUGAUGCAGCCAUGCCGCGUGUAUGAAGAAGGCCUUCGGGUUGUAAAGUACUUUCAGCGGGGAGGAAGGGAGUAAAGUUAAUACCUUUGCUCAUUGACGUUACCCGCAGAAGAAGCACCGGCUAACUCCGUGCCAGCAGCCGCGGUAAUACGGAGGGUGCAAGCGUUAAUCGGAAUUACUGGGCGUAAAGCGCACGCAGGCGGUUUGUUAAGUCAGAUGUGAAAUCCCCGGGCUCAACCUGGGAACUGCAUCUGAUACUGGCAAGCUUGAGUCUCGUAGAGGGGGGUAGAAUUCCAGGUGUAGCGGUGAAAUGCGUAGAGAUCUGGAGGAAUACCGGUGGCGAAGGCGGCCCCCUGGACGAAGACUGACGCUCAGGUGCGAAAGCGUGGGGGAGCAAACAGGAUUAGAUACCCUGGUAGUCCACGCCGUAAACGAUGUCGAC